rnacentral:rRNA from 1 species
UACGAAGGGGGCUAGCGUUGCUCGGAAUCACUGGGCGUAAAGCGCACGUAGGCGGAUUGUUAAGUCAGGGGUGAAAGCCUGUGGCUCAACCACAGAAUGGCCUUCGAUACUGGACGGCUCGAGACCGGAAGAGGUCAGUGGAACUGCGAGUGUAGAGGUGAAAUUCGUAGAUAUUCGCAAGAACACCAGUGGCGAAGGCGGCUGACUGGUCCGGUUCUGACGCUGAGGCGCGAAAGCGUGGGGAGCAAACAGG